rnacentral:rRNA from 1 species
GCAAGUCGAACGGUAACAGGAACUAGCUUGCUAGUUUGCUGACGAGUGGCGCACGGGUGAGUAAUAUAUAGAUAAUGUGCCCCUUAGUCUGGGAUAGCCACUGGAAACGGUGAUUAAUACUAGAUACUCCUUCUAAUCUUAAGAUUAGUUGGGAAAGUUUUUCGCUAAGGGAUCGGUCUAUAUCCUAUCAGCUUGUUGGUGAGGUAAGAGCUCACCAAGGCAAUGACGGGUAGCGGGUUUGAGAGGAUGAUC